CCUCGAAAUACAGAGUGAGAUUAAUAGAUUAGGGUGACAAAAAAAACGAUAGCCUUUUUUACAGUCCGAAUGUGCGAAUAUAAAACCAACUUUACCCAAGUUAUGUGGAUUCGAGUGUUUACGCUGCACUAAACUUUGACGAGCAAGACUCCGAUCUGCAAACAAAGAGCAGAGGAAGAGGAUGAUGGCGGUCCUGCAUUCACGAGAAAGAGCAGUAAUCAAGAGAAGCGUUAUCAUCGCUGAAGAAAUGGCAGAUUUUAAUCCUCAGACACCGACUAUGGACAUCAUCUUCUGACUGAACUAGCAAGGAGAUGUUGGAGCCAAUGAGAAAGCUGGUGGAAUGUAAACCUAAGUAAACGCCACUACUUUAAUGAUAAUUUCUAAGCUUACUGAGCAACGUAAACUGCUGUCAUCCACAUCACAUCAUUGCUCUAACCGAUGUUACCUGAAGAAUCCUUUCAGUGUAGCAGAUACUCUCAAGCAUCUGGAGCAAACUUAUGCUGAACUGGAUGCUUCUGAAGAGUGCGCUUCAACACUUAAGGUUUGUACAAAGUUACACCACAUCACUGAAAAUGGCACGCGUCAAGAUUUCAGAGACUCUGCAUGACAUUUUAAAUGUUUAUGAUCUUCAGGUGAGUUAAAAUUUGUCAACACUUACUACCUCCAUCACUGUCUUCACUGUAUAUAAAAUAAAGUUGGCUUGCUUGUUUAACAUGCUAAUUUUUGCUUGACUCUGACGGGUGUACUUGAUGUCACCAUGAAACUCACCGUAGCCCUCUGUGCUCCUCAGUACCUGUGUGAGGAGGACCCACAAUUCUUCAAGAAAUGUAAGUGUUCAAUGCAUUAACAGAAUUGCUAGUAUCAGUGAAUGUAAUGGUCUACUUGUAGUCUACUGAGUGAAAUUUCAGGAGGCGUUGGGAGAGCCAGACAUCACUGAUUCUGUCAUUGUGGUCAACGAAUGCACAAGUCCUUCAAGCAUUGCAGUUGUGAUAGAAGAUGAUCUUUAGUUUUAUAAUAAGACUAAUCUUAAAAUAAACCUUCAGCUGUAAAGAUUUUUUAUUUAUUUAUUUAUUUAGCUGUUGUUGUUUGUUUUUGUCUUUUGAGUUAGUUUUUUUAUGUAAUGUCCUGCAGAGGUGCCGAUCCUGUUCCUGGAGAUCUUCCUGCCUGCAGAGUUCAGCUAAGUUAUUCAGCUAAUUAUUUUUUACAACAGCCAAUUUUUUUUCCAUUUACCAAUGUGUUUAAAACAUUAAGUUUGUCUAUACUUAUACACAGAGUGUAACAUUGAAUAAGUAAAUACCAGUGUAUAAUUUUUCAAAAUGUGGUAAAUACAAUAAUUGUAUAACAACUGCUGUUAUUUGAUGUAAUAUAGUUUGUAAUUGUUUUGUAAAUAAAAUGUUUUCAUGCC